UACGAAGGGGGCUAGCGUUGUUCGGAAUUACUGGGCGUAAAGCGCACGUAGGCGGAUAUUUAAGUCAGGGGUGAAAUCCCGCAGCUCAACUGCGGAACUGCCUUUGAUACUGGGUAUCUUGAGUAUGGAAGAGGUAAGUGGAAUUGCGAGUGUAGAGGUGAAAUUCGUAGAUAUUCGGAGGAACACCAGUGGCGAAGGCGGCUCACUGGCUCGAUACUGACGCUGAGGUGCGAAAGCGUGGGGAGCAAACAGG
rnacentral:rRNA from 1 species